rnacentral:rRNA from 1 species
GGUCAGGAUGAACGCUGGCGGCGUGCCUAACACAUGCAAGUCGAACGGGUUAAGCAGAAAUUUCGGAUGGAAGCUUAACUAGUGGCGGACGGGUGAGUAACGCGUGGAUAACCUGCCUCACACAGGGGGAUAGCAGCUGGAAACGGCUGGUAAUACCGCAUAAGACCACGGCAUCGCAUGAUGCAGCGGUAAAAGAUUUAUCGGUGUGAGAUGGAUCCGCGUCUGAUUAGCCAGUUGGCGGGGUAACGGCCCACCAAAGCGACGAUCAGUAGCCGGCCUGAGAGGGUGAACGGCCACAUUGGGACUGAGACACGGCCCAAACUCCUACGGGAGGCAGCAGUGGGGAAUAUUGCACAAUGGGCGCAAGCCUGAUGCAGCCAACGCCGCGUGAGUGAAGAAGUAUUUCGGUAUGUAAAGCUCUAUCGGCAGGGAAGAAAGGCCCUAUAAGGGAGAUGACGGUACCUGACUAAGAAGCCCCGGCUAACUACGUGCCAGCCGCCGC